CGAACGGGUGAGUAACACGUGAGCAACCUACCCUUGACUCCGGGAUAACAGCUGGAAACAGCUGCUAAUACCGGAUACGACCUCGACCGACAUCUGUUGAGGUGGAAAGUUCUGGCGGUCAAGGAUGGGCUCGCGGCCUAUCAGCUAGUUGGUGAGGUAACGGCUCACCAAGGCUUCGACGGGUAGCCGGCCUGAGAGGGCGACCGGCCACACUGGGACUGAGAUACGGCCCAGACUCC
rnacentral:rRNA from 1 species